AUUAUAGGAGUAUACUAGUGAUAGAAAAGGAAAAUAUAUCUUUUUUGUGUGUGUGUAUGUGUGAACUGGUCACAAAUUACUAUCUAAACUAUAUUUAGGAGGUAAAAAAAGAUCACACAUAAUAUAUUUUCAUCUACAAAUUUACUUCUAGAAUAGAUGAGAAAUAAUUGGAAGUAUUUGGAUGUAUUUUUAGAAGAUAUCCACCCUCAAAGUAUUUUAAGAGCAUAUUUAUAUUGUUAUUGAAAUUUUUCUUUUAUAUUUCUUUUUCAUUAUUUAUCUUUUUUUUUUCUAUUAUAGAGAAGGCAUGCUAUUAAAUGCAUGUGACUUUUAUUUUUUUCUGAAUUUCCUUUAUUCUUAUCCUAUUUCCAGCUUUCCUCAUGGCUGAACAUUUCCUAAUUACCUUGAUCAAUUUGGGGGUGGGGGGGUGGGGAAUUCUUUUUACUGACCCUUAUUAUAAUUAACUUUAAUCAACUAGAAACAUGAAAACUAAUUGCUUUUGUCCCUAAAACUACCAAGAAUAACUGGUCAUACAUUGUCUUGCCCCUUUGAAAGUACAACUGUAUGAUUGAUUUUAUGACUGCCUGUGGAGGCAAAUUUCUCAGCAUGACUGCACCAGGUGAAGAAGUAUUUCCUAUAACUUGCUCUAAAUUUACUUGGCAUUAACUUCGCUUAGUGUCCUAUUCUCUUAUGGGACAACAUAAUGAGGAUAUAUCAGCUUUACUGCACAGUUCAUAAUCUUUAAUGUCUAAGUAAAUCUCUCCUAUUUUCUGUACCAGACUUAGUAAUUCUAACUUUUUAAGUCUCUUGUCAUGUGCAAAUCCACACCUUACUGUCUCUGUUGACCUUCUCUGGAUCUUUGCCAUCUCAGAAUUUCUUCAGGUGCUUAGGAGGAGAAGGAACAAGAGGGCAUGGGGAGGGGAAACUCUGAGGAGAAUAUAUUCAUUGUUAGUGCCUUUCCAUUUUGUCCUAAACCCCUCUCCCGUGAAUUAUAUUUACUUGAAAUAUAUUUUCUGUUAAUUCAGCUGAUUAUAUGCUGUUCCCUCUUCUGCACUCUCUUAGUAAAAUGUAAACACAUUGAGGGCAAGAAUUGUUUCUUUUUUAUCUUUUUAUGUACAAUGCCUAACUUGAUGUCUGGUUAAUAGCUGAUAUUAAAUGGUUUUUGAAAGAAUAAAUCAAUUCCUCAAUGAUUUAGUAAAAGUAUAAAUCACCUGGUUUGGUGUUAUGUGAAUCAGAAAACACAGACUUGCAGUGGGUUGUCUCAGUUUGAUUACAUUCCAUAAACUAGUUUGCCAAUUUGAGAACAGAUCUGGGAGAAAGAUUUAAAAAAAAAUCCCCCUAAAAACAAAAGUUAAGUAACAAAGUUAGCUAAUACUAAUAAUAGUAUGGAGCUUAAACUUUUAGGACUAGCUUCCAGACAAAUGCAAUCCCUAUUUGCAUGGGAUUUUUUUUGCUGUGGUGACUCUGAGUUUUGGGAUAUUUGUAUGUGAAAUGGACAAGUAAUAGAAAAUUAUUAACCUUGGCUGGAAUAAUCUGACAUUACAAUUGUUUUCCCUGGCCUUCAUCAUUUUUAAAUAGCCAUAAUUUAAUUAGGAAGAGAUUACUUUCAAAGGCAUUUGUAGGAGGAAAAGAUUAUAAAAUAUAUACAAUUUAGAAUUAUCUAAGAAAUGAUUCUAUUGAUAGAUAUGACUAAAGCUUGCUCAAAAUCCAGUGGAGGCCACAAAAUGCAAACUUUGAUAAUUACAGAAUCUACAGAUCUUGGAAAAAAAUGAUUGUCUGGGGCAGACAUCAAAUGCAGCUUGCAGGACCUUAGGGCGCCUAUUGUUUUAUUUUACAAAUGAGGAAAUUAAUCCCCAGGUGAGAAGAAGUGACCUGCCUCAAAUCAUAGAAUUUCCUGACAAGACCAGGACUAGACCCAAGGCCUCAUGCAGUUUUGUCAUCUCUGUUUCAUUGUCUCAUCUCACUCAUUAGAUUGUAAUCUCCUUCUGGUCAGGGACUAUCGUUAAGCAUAGUGCCUGACACAUAGUAGGCACUUAAUAUUUUUAAAUGAAUAAAUGAAUUUGUAAAUUCCAGAGAUGACCUACAUGAACUAAGAGACAAUGUGUAUGGGGUUGAAAGUUAAGAAGUAGAUUUUGAUUGAUGCAGAUCAGUUUUACUAUGAUUCACUGAAAAAAAUUUCUUCAUUACCACCUCAAUUAAUGAAAGCUUACAUUUAUACAUGAUUUAUUAAGACUUCCAAAAUAUUUUUUAUACUAACCCUAUAAAGUAAGAUGCAAAUAUUAUCCUGAUUUUAUAGAUGAGGAUCAUGAAUUUAGUUAAGAAAUGAUGGUUUAACCACUUCAUUUCACAGAGGGGAAAAAUGAAGCACAAACAGGUUAAAUGAAUGUUAAGGUUAAGUUUAUGAUCACAUAGCUAGUAACAAUCUGAGGCAGGAUUUCUUUCCAGCUCUACCUGAUUCCAAAUCUAGUGCCCUAUGCUCUAUUCAUACUGCUUCAAUGAAAUAAAUGCUUUAAAGAGAUUAAAUUACUUGAAUGUUUAAAUGAAAAGUCAUUUGUUAAACAUUUGUGAUAUGCUAAGCUUUUUGCUAAAUUCUGGGGAUAUAAAUCCCCCAAAAUAAAAAUCAGUCUUUGCUCUCAUCUAAUAAAUCAGAAUUGUCAAUUGUGUCAAUAAUAAACAAAAUUAAUAAAACUGAUACUUCUUAACUGUGA